UACGUAGGGAGCAAGCGUUGUCCGGAAUCAUUGGGCGUAAAGCGCGCGUAGGCGGCCCUGUAAGUCCGUUGUGAAAGUCAAAGGCUCAACCUUUGAAAGCCGAUGGAUACUGCAGGGCUAGAGUCCGGAAGAGGCGAGUGGAAUUCCUGGUGUAGCGGUGGAAUGCGCAGAUAUCAGGAGGAACACCGGUGGCGAAGGCGGGUCUCUGGGCCGAUACUGACGCUGAGGAGCGAAAGCGUGGGGAGCGAACAGG
rnacentral:rRNA from 1 species